CAGUAGCCGCGGGAAUACGAAGGGUGCAAGCGUUAAUCGGAAUUACUGGGCGUAAAGCGUGCGUAGGCGGUUUGUUAAGUCUGUUGUGAAAUCCCCGGGCUCAACCUGGGAAUGGCAAUGGAUACUGGCAAGCUAGAGUGUGUCAGAGGAUGGUGGAAUUCCCGGUGUAGCGGUGAAAUGCGUAGAGAUCGGGAGGAACAUCAGUGGCGAAGGCGGCCAUCUGGGACAACACUGGCGCUGAGGCACGGAAGCGUGGGGAGCAAACAGGAUUAGAUACCCCCGUAGUCCCUGUCUCUUAUAC
rnacentral:rRNA from 1 species